AACGCUGGCGGCGUGCUUAACACAUGCAAGUCGAACGAUGAACCUGUGCUUGCACGGGGGAUUAGUGGCGAACGGGUGAGUAACACGUGAGUAACCUGCCCUUGACUUCGGGAUAAGCCUGGGAAACUGGGUCUAAUACUGGAUACGACCUCUCAUCGCAUGGUGUGGGGGUGGAAAGUUUUUGCGGUUUUGGAUGGACUCGCGGCCUAUCAGCUUGUUGGUGAGGUAAUGGCUCACCAAGGCGACGACGGGUAGCCGGCCUGAGAGGGUGACCGGCCACACUGGGACUGAGACACGGCCCAGACUCCUACGGGAGGCAGCAGUGGGGAAUAUUGCACAAUGGGCGAAAGCCUGAUGCAGCGACGCCGCGUGAGGGAACGACGGCCUUCGGGUUGUAAACCUCUUUCAGUAGGGAACAAGGCAUCAUUUUUGUGGUGUUGAGGGUACUUGCAGAAGAAGCACCGGCUAACUACGUGCCAGCAGCCGCGGUAAUACGUAGGGUGCAAGCGUUAUCCGGAAUUAUUGGGCGUAAAGAGCUCGUAGGCGGUUUGUCGCGUCUGUCGUGAAAGUCCGGGGCUCAACUCCGGAUCUGCGGUGGGUACGGGCAGACUAGAGUGAUGUAGGGGAGACUGGAAUUCCUGGUGUAGCGGUGGAAUGCGCAGAUAUCAGGAGGAACACCGAUGGCGAAGGCAGGUCUCUGGGCAUUAACUGACGCUGAGGAGCGAAAGCAUGGGGAGCGAACAGGAUUAGAUACCCUGGUAGUCCAUGCCGUAAACGUUGGGCACUAGGUGUGGGGGACAUUCCACGUUUUCCGCGCCGUAGCUAACGCAUUAAGUGCCCCGCCUGGGGAGUACGGCCGCAAGGCUAAAACUCAAAGAAAUUGACGGGGGCCCGCACAAGCGGCGGAGCAUGCGGAUUAAUUCGAUGCAACGCGAAGAACCUUACCAAGGCUUGACAUGAACCGGAAAGGCGUAGAAAUACGUCCCCCACUUGUGGUCGGUUUACAGGUGGUGCAUGGUUGUCGUCAGCUCGUGUCGUGAGAUGUUGGGUUAAGUCCCGCAACGAGCGCAACCCUCGUUCUAUGUUGCCAGCACGUGAUGGUGGGGACUCAUAGGAGACUGCCGGGGUCAACUCGGAGGAAGGUGGGGAUGACGUCAAAUCAUCAUGCCCCUUAUGUCUUGGGCUUCACGCAUGCUACAAUGGCCGGUACAAAGGGUUGCGAUACUGUGAGGUGGAGCUAAUCCCAAAAAGCCGGUCUCAGUUCGGAUUGGGGUCUGCAACUCGACCCCAUGAAGUCGGAGUCGCUAGUAAUCGCAGAUCAGCAACGCUGCGGUGAAUACG
rnacentral:rRNA from 1 species